GACCCAGUGGUGCAAUGGUCAGCACACCUGCACAAUUUAAUCAUUGCAGGUAAAUCGUUCUGCAGGAGUUCCCUGUUCAACUCGGGGCUGGGUCA